rnacentral:rRNA from 1 species
GGGGGAUAUUGCGCAAUGGGGGAAACCCUGACGCAGCAACGCCGCGUGAAGGAUGAAGGUCUUCGGAUCGUAAACUUCUGUCUUUGGGGAAGAAUAAAUGACGGUACCCAAGGAGGAAGCCACGGCUAACUACGUGCCAGCAGCCGCGGUAAUACGUAGGUGGCGAGCGUUGUCCGGAUUUACUGGGUGUAAAGGGCGUGUAGGCGGGACUGUAAGUCAGAUGUGAAAUACCGAGGCUCAACCUCGGGGCUGCAUUUGAAACUAUGGUUCUUGAGUGUCGGAGAGGGAAGCGGAAUUCCUAGUGUAGCGGUGAAAUGCGUAGAUAUUAGGAGGAACACCAGUGGCGAAAGCGGCUUUCUGGACGAUAACUGACGCUGAGGCGCGAAAGCGUGGGGAGCAAAC